UCAGGGAUUGUUUCAUAGACC
rnacentral:miRNA from 1 species